AUUGAACGCUGGCGGCAGGCCUAACACAUGCAAGUCGAGCGGAUGAGGGGUGCUUGCACCCCGAUUCAGCGGCGGACGGGUGAGUAAUGCCUAGGAAUCUGCCCGAUAGUGGGGGACAACGUUUCGAAAGGAACGCUAAUACCGCAUACGUCCUACGGGAGAAAGUGGGGGCUCUUCGGACCUCACGCUAUCGGAUGAGCCUAGGUCGGAUUAGCUAGUUGGUGGGGUAAAGGCUCACCAAGGCGACGAUCCGUAACUGGUCUGAGAGGAUGAUCCGCCACACUGGAACUGAGACACGGUCCAGACUCCUACGGGAGGCAGCAGUGGGGAAUCUUGGACAAUGGGCGAAAGCCUGAUCCAGCAAUGCCGCGUGGGUGAAGAAGGCCUUCGGGUUGUAAAGCCCUUUUGUACGGGAGCAAAUCCUUGUCACUAAUACUGGCUGGGGAUGAGAGUACCGUAAGAAUCAGCACCGGCUAACUACGUGCCAGCAGCCGCAGUAACAC
rnacentral:rRNA from 1 species